CUAUCUCCCCCUCCCCCCUCUCUCUCUCUCUUCUCUCUCUCUCUCCCCUCUCUCUCCCCCCCCUCUCUCUCCUCUCCCCCCCCCCCCCCCCCUCCCCCUCUCUCUGACAGAAAGCAGCCGUGCUGAAGAGACUGCAGGACAGCCGGCCUGCGGGGCAGGUGGAGGGUGGGGUGGGGGGGUUCAGCCCCCAUCAGCCAUGUGAGGCGGCAUCUCUGACGGACCCCCCCCCACCCUGUCCCCCCCUCUCCCCCCCCACUGGGACCGCAGAGACAAACAGCACCGCAGCCGAGUCCCCGACCAGCAGAGAGAUGCCUUCAGCAACAGCUGGCAGGGCAAACACCCCGUCGACCUCCGACACACUGGCAAAGACGAAGGCCACGGCGGAAACCGCCGCCCCAGUGACGGAGCCCCUCCCGCCAAAAAAGGCCAUCACAGCCAAGAAAGACGCCGUUAAGAAACGCUCUCUGUCAAGGACAAAGAAAGGCUCUGGUGCUAAGAAGUGUGUGGGAACACGGCUGAAGGUGAAGCUUCCUCCACUCACAGCAAAGAAGAUGUCUGAAGCCAAGGAAUGUUCCGGUUCUCGCUGUGCCCUAAAUCCCGGCGCUCCGGCCGUGCAGGCGUCUGUCCCUGACACGCAGGGCAGAGCUGGCAGCGGGAAACGGCAGCGGGAGCAAGACGUGUCGGACCUGAAGGAGAACGUGCCGCACUCCACAACCGCUCCUCCCAGCCCCACAGCCUCUAAGAAGAGACGCGGUGAGGAGAGACGUGUCCCAUCACAGCCCGAGAGGCCAGAAGAGAGGGGGAUGAGGAGAAGAGAGGGGGAUGAGGGUGGACGGAGAGAGCGCGCGGGCAGGAGGCUCCGGAGAGCUUCACAGACGCCGAGGAUGGAGGAGCAGGGAGGGAGGGAGGUGGAGGAGGAGGAGGAGGAUGGAGACAAGAAAGAGGUGGAGCAGAAAGACGAGGGACUGGCGGAGGAGGAGGAGGAGGAGAAGGAGGAGGGACACAUGCACCAGCAGGCGGAGGAGAAAACCAGCGAGGACCUGAAGAGGGAGCAGGUAGCAGCCAUCACGCGCCAGCAGAGGGCGCCACUCCUGGACAGCCUGAAACGCGCGCUCUCCCAGUUUACAGCUGCUGUGUGUUUUUCAGUUCUCUCUCUGUCUCUGUCUCUCUCUCAGAGGACUAAGGUGCUAGCAGAGCGCAGGCUGAGUGUGUUGAAGUCUCUGCAGGGUCUGGUCACCUCCUCCAGGGGGAGGCGCGAGAGUGAAGCAGUACUAAAGGGGCGCGUGGCGGACGCGAGCCACGCCCCCCUGGAUGACGGCGCAGACUCCGCCUCACAGCCACAGGAACAGCAAGAGGAGGGCGGGAGCUCGGGGUCGAAAGCACAGGAGCCAACAGCGGACAUUCAGAGAGGUGAGAGGCCACACCACCAACUUCCUCGUCACUCAGUUUGGAAGUGACUGUUAACUCUGUGUGUGUGUGUGUGUGUGUGUGUGUGUGUGUGUGUGUGUGUGUGUGUGUGUUUCAGCUCCUGCACUGUCAGUCACAGACUCCAUGUUGUACAGACUGCACGGUGAUAUUAGGAUCUCCAUGACCCUUGACAACCCUGUAAGUCUUUAUUUACACACUCACACACACUCACAUACACUCACACACACACACACUCACUCACACACACACACUCUUCUUCACCAAAAAUGCCAUCAUAAAGCAACACAUACAU
ensembl:lncRNA